rnacentral:rRNA from 1 species
UACGGAGGGUGCAAGCGUUAUCCGGAUUUACUGGGUUUAAAGGGUGCGUAGGCGGGCUAUUAAGUCAGUGGUGAAAGCCCCAAGCUUAACUUGGGAACUGCCAUUGAUACUGAUGGUCUUGAGUACAUUUGAGGUGGGCGGAAUGUGUCAUGUAGCGGUGAAAUGCUUAGAUAUGACACAGAACACCGAUUGCGAAGGCAGCUCACUAAACUGUAACUGACGCUGAGGCACGAAAGCGUGGGGAGCAAACAGG